GGAGUGGUACUCAAGUGGCUGAAGAGGACGGUUUGCUAAAUCGUUAGGCGGGUUAAACCGUGCGUGGGUUCGAAACCCACCCACUCCGCCA
rnacentral:tRNA from 1 species